rnacentral:rRNA from 1 species
GAUGAACGCUGGCGGCGUGCCUAAUACAUGCAAGUCGAGCGAACGGACGAGGUGCUUGUUUCUACUAUGUUAGCGGCGGACGGGUGAGUAACACGUGGAUAACCUCCCUAUAAGACUGGGACAACUUCGGGAAACGGGUGCUAAUACCGGAUGAUAUCUUGAACCACAUGGUUCAAGAGUGAAAGACGGUCUUGCUGCAACUUAUAGUUGUAUCCGCGCUGCUUUAGCUAGUUGGUAAGGUAACGGCUUACCAAGGCAACGAUGCAUAGCCGACCUGAGAGGGUGAUCGGCCACACUGGAACUGAGACACGGCCCAGACUCCUACGGGAGGCAGCAGUAGGGAAUCUUCGGCAAUGGGCGAAAGCCUGACGGAGCAACGCCGCGUGAGUGAUGAAGGUCUUCGGAUCGUAAAACUCUGUUAUUAGGGAAGAACAUAUGUGUAAGUAACUGUGCACUUAUUGACGGUACCUAAUCAGAAAGCCACGGCUAACUACGUG